CAGGUCAGGACUCACAGAAUGAUGUGCUCCGGUCCGCAGAGGGUCAACACUCCUUGUUUUAGCCCAGGUUCUCCAGUAAGUUGUGUGUCUGGCUGGAUUUGAUUAUAUUGAUGUUUUAACUAAUUUCAACUUUUCGCUUGGUGAAAUAAAAAUAAGUCAAAAAAUGGUAAUUUAAAAAAAAAUAACUCUGAAUGAUAGUUAAGAUUAAAAUUUAAAAACAAAUUUUCCUAAAUCUGAGUUUCUUUGUAAAAUUCAAACCUGGGUUAACUAUAAAAUUUUUCCAAAUUAUAAAAAUGUCCGUAAAAUAAUGAACACAGUCGCUCAAAAACAAAAAUAAAAUUUUAUUAAAACAUCUUAAUACGGCCGCAAUUUUGCCAACAAAUUUACGAUUUCCUUGUACACAUUUUAAGACGACGUCGACAAUAGCCGAAAAAUAAGAAGAAAUAUUUUCAUUUUUGCCUUUUUUUUAUAAAUAAAAUUAUUUUAAUGCCAUAAAACUGCAGUACUAUUAAAAAAAUAUUGAUGACGUCACGUCUCUAACAGUGCUACUUAAAAAAUAAAGUAUGAUUUUUCAUUAUUUUGUGGACUCUUUUUUGGUGAAGUAGAUUUUGAAAUAAAGUUUACCGGGGACGACUGGAAGGGAGCAGGUAAGUAAUUUGUUGUUCGUCAGUCUGUGUCUUCCUUGAUGUACAAAACUGCUUCUUAAUAUUUAUCUCUAUAGUUAAACACACCUGAUCUUGUAAGCAAUAUCUGGCUUAUGGACAGUGAUAGUAAAAACAGAUACAUCUAAAAUCAGCAGCACCCCAAAAAUGAAGUCAAAUUUUAAAAAAAUCAGUCAAAAUUUUUUCGAAAAUCCGCACUUUCAACCAUAAGCGAAAUGUUGCUCGUAAAAAAUUAUACGCAUGCAAAGUGUUUCAAAAUGUACACAAUUAAAUCUUACGUAGGUUCAAGAAUUGGAAAUUUUAAAUUUCGACUUAGUUUUAAUAAUUUUGAAACACUUUGAAUAUUAAGUCCACGCACGCCUUAAAUGUGCCCUGAAUGCGUUAUUCCAAUAGAUAAAUUAGGUUUUUUUUUUAAUAUUUGCUAAACAUUUGGUUAAAAAGUAAACCUUGUUGAGGAAAUUUCAGCUCAGAGCAAGCUCACUGGGUCCUUCUAUAUAACGAAGAUACCUUUUAAAACUUGGAAAAAUAUUGACAUAUUUGCUUCAAUUUCUGUAACAAAAUUAAAAAAAAAUCUAAAACUAUAAAAAGUUACUAUACCUAGUUCAUUUUCAUAAGCUGACUUUUUAUUAAUUUCCACUUCAGCAUCAGGCUGUAAUAUUUUUUACCACAAUUUUUAAUGCAGAUGUUGAAGCAAGUUUGAAAAAAUCAAAUCAAAAGACAUUUCAAGUUUUAAAAUUAACCAAGUAUAGAAUUAUCUUGUACUUGUCAAAACCGGUCAAACUGAAGUGUCCUCAACAACCACCAAAUGUUAAACAUAAAUAAAAAAAAUUUAUAUCAUUUCCGCUAAAAGUAAAAAACGUUUGAUGUUGUUGGUGUGCUCCUUUAGAUUUAGUAUUUAGUUCUAACACAGGACAUCGGGCAUAUACAGAAUGUCCAAAACAAAUUAAUGUGGAGUAUAAUUUCAUUCCAAAAUUUUAUGUUUAAGUCAAAAUUAAGACAUACCCAACAAAAUUUUACGCACACAUUGUAUGUCUUUCAAAAAAAAUUCACCCAAUUUGUGUAAAAUUUACUAUCAUACCCUUCUUCACAACAAAAUCAAAUUGUACUCAGGUUAUAACCUAGAUAUAACUUAAAUUAUUGAAUGAUUUAUCGAUAAACUGUGAUAUUAACUCAUUUGGAAUUUUUCCCAAAAGCAGACUAUUCACCUCCAAAGCCACAAAAACCUACCAUAAGUGUUCUAUUAUCAUUUUCUCUUAUGCGCAACAUUUUAAUUUCGUUUUAUUUCCAAGCAAAUUCGAGAUUUUAAUUUGAAACGCUCAAAACUGUGUUGCGUGUAAAAGGAUAAAACCUCAUAAAUCAUUCUUAAAUGUUUCCAGUAUUUGCUGUGUUAAGUUUAGAUUUAUAACAAUGAUUAUAAUUUUUAUAUAAUAAUUAACACUUCUACUAAAGAAAAGAAUUAAAAAUUCCUGUGUUGUGGCGAAAAUACCGUGUACUUAAAAAUAUUUUGUUGCUGAGUUGAAUUUGAUUAACGCUUUGGCUUAUUUAACAAAAAAUAUUAUUACAGCAACAGUAUAUUGAAGUUGGCAUCUACCAAAAACAUACUUGACCCAAAAAUAUACGCAUAUACUGCAAUAAAAUAAUUGUAGCCAACUCUGAACUAAAAUUUUUCCAAUCUGGCAACACUGCAAUGCAGAACUUCCUAAUAAUAAUAAUAAAAACUAAAUUUUGUGUCAGCUACAGUCAAAAAUAUUUUUGAUAAAGUGGUGAUUUGUGUAUAAAAUUUCCCACGAAAUUAUUUUUUUGAACAAGUCCCUUGAUAUGUGGAUUUAAAGCCAAAAUAUGUCUAAAUAUUGAUCAGUCUAUUUUACUAAUUAUGGUAUGUUUUUAAUUUGGCACUGUCGAAAACACACAAGCAUUAUAGAUUUAACUCAGGAAACCUGUAAUAAAAUUUAAAAAAAUAUAUACAAUUUUACAUAUCUAGUCAUUUAGCAACACUGAAAAAUAAAAAAAAAAGAAAAAAGAAAAAAUGGAAUACCUAUCCUACCGACUGCUCCAUUUUUGCGUCCCAAAAAUAAAAAGGUCAUCAAAAGCGCUUAGUUCGCACAAACGAUGCUUUAACUGAAUAUAAAAAAGGUUCCUUCAGAAAAAAAACGCUAAUUUUUGUUACGGCAGUUGCUAGUCGUAGAAAACUGUGUAGGAACGCACUAAAAAAAAAUUUAUGUGGGUGGGUGGUGGGUUCGCUACGAUACGAGAUUUGAACGGGUGUCUCGUUAGCGCUUUACCGUUCCAGUCUUUUGGACUGACUUCGCUAAGAAGCAGAGGUUGAGGGAUGGCUUCUGCGGAGCGUGUGAAACCCUCACACUUUUCAGAUUUUAAUCGUUUCAUCGUCCAGGUUCAUAGACGAAAAGACGAUUAGAAUUAGAGACUUUUGUUUACAACUAUUGUCACUCCAGACAAGAUUCUUUAACAGUUUCUUGCUACGAAAUAGAGGUUGAGGGUGACCUCUAUCCAGCAUUUUAACUCUAGGUUUCAUAGGAUUUUAUUUAAUGUAAAAAAUAUUUCGAUGUUUGUUCAUUAUUUAAAAUCAUUAGCACAUCUUUGUGUCAUCUACCAGAGAAAUAAUUACGUUGUAAAUAUUUCACUGGAGAUCGAAGGUGCAGAUUGUCACGUUAGAACCUGAUAUAAAUUAUUAAUAAACUUUGAAAAUUUGACAUCAAAAUUCAUAACGAGUAUUGUUUUGUAACUUUUUUAAAAAUUACUAGAGACUGCGCCAAUUUCAUUUGUGUGUAUCUGAAUGAAUGAUUGUAUGAACUGAAUGAAGAGACAAACGCCAUCUUGGACCCAAUAACCCAUUUGUAAAGAUGUCACGUCACCACCUAAUGGAACAUAUAUCAGAUAUUAUAAUAAAAUUAUAAAAUCUGUCAUCAAUUAAUUAAAAGUUCCAGUCAAGUAAAUUGAUGACGUGCAGUCUCCUUUGUGAAAAAUGGAGCUACUAAUUUUCUGUUUUGUAUUUGUUUUAAUUCAUUAAAUAUAAUAUACUGUGUAUAUAAAAGUAGAUAAUUUAGUUAUUUUUUUUUUUUUUUGUUUAACGAAGUUUUGACUCCACUAUAAAUUCGAGUCAGACUACACAAACACUUUCCGUUUAUAUUUUUAAAGAUCCACCAAGUUGAUUCAUACUGGUAACGCAAUAAUAAAUUAGAAAACCCUGUGGACUGACAAGUGACAGUUUAUCAUUCGUUGGCGGAAUGUGUUCACAGACGUACGUGGUGAAUACUAAGAACACCACCUUCGUCAGUCUUAUCAAAGUGGUACGCAACAAAAGAAAACAACUGCUACCUCACAGCGACAUAAACAAUGACAAUUAAACUUCCAGUCUCUGUGUCAUUGUAUCGGGUGUUCGAUUGAAAAAAUCAAUGAACUUAACCUAAUUUUUUCGUAUAUUUUCGCAACAGUAUGGAUUAAUAAGACACACGCCAACUUGAUGACUUUUUCAAUUGAACACCCGUUAUGUCCUACAAAAAGACUGUUUAGUCGUGUAGGUGUUACCGACUGUCAAAUAAAACAUUCACAUUUUGUUAGUGACAUGUGCAGAUUACAAAAAGUCGAAAUCUUCCUAUGACUUUUUAUCGUUUAGUAAGACUGUCCUCCUUUUGACAUUUUGUAAACUAAAUCUUGUCACGUUUGUGUAUUAUUAAACUUUAAUGUAUGUAUAUAGAAAAAAUUUUAGUUUAGUAGUGACACAUACUACUCAGAAAUUCAUUUGGAUUAUAAUCACAAAAUAGAGUAUUUGAUCUCUUGGAUAAAUGUACUUGUUCUUUAUGAAUCCGCCUUGUUUCUUUCUGAGACCAGAAAAAUUGUUAGCCCCUACUCCUACGGAGGGCAGUAGUAAUUUUAGCUGCUGUCUAAGGCUAUCAAUCUCGUGAGAACGAGAACAAAGAAUUUAAAUUCUAGCUGUAACGAAAUGUUUAAUAGUUUAAACGUAUGAAGUGACAAAAUGGACACUAGGGAGAUAAAAUCAAGGGGUGUUUGAAGGAUGGACACUGCGUCUUCUUGCUUCAGUGCUUGUACAUAACCCUCUGCUCCCACUAUUUCACUGUGCCGAAAAACGGCUCCGACUAUGUCCAGUGUGUGUAUCUAGUGUUUAAAUGGCUAAUUUUCGUUCAAUUUUACAGUUUUCAGAGGUGUGAAAACGGGAACAAGCUAUUCCGUCCAACUAAUAAACGGAACUAGUUAUUAAUCUCUUCAAGCAAAAAAUCUCUUCUCUUGAUAUCUUGCAAAACCUGAAGUAACUAACACCCAAGUCAGGUUUAGAAAUUUAUUUUUGGACAAAACUUACUAGUGAUAACGCUGCCUUUAGCCAAAUUUUAAAUGUAAGUGCCUUUGCUCCUUGUGUCGAUGCUCACAAAAACCUUUGGGUGUUACACAUACUCACAAAUCUGAAAUCCUCUUCGAAUCUACUGAUCUCCUUCUCAGCUGGAAAGGUGGUGUGGUUGGUACACGAAUUUUCUCUUUUUCCCUCCUUUACUCAAAAUUCGUACCUCCAUUUCUUCAGCUUCAAAUGGUAUAUAGUCUAAAUUUUGCUGUGGUGUUCACAUUAUUUUCAGUUGGAGUUUUCUUUCACGGUUCGAACUUGGUUGUCCAUUGGACGAUGGAUUUUCUUUUGCUUCUAGCUGGAGUGACUAAGAAGAAAACCGACAGGACGGGACUGACUAAGUGUGAAUUUCAUCACGAUCAGAACCUCAGACGAAAUCUAUCUCGGUAUUUAGGCAACUCCGCAGAUCCACCCAAAGUGUUCAAGCUUGUAAAUUUCUCUCUAAUGAAGUGUUAAAAUAGGUUAAAAUGUCGUCUGGAGGGACGUAUCGACUCAAGAAUCAUUGGUGCGGCAGCUGCAAAUGUGAAAAGAAGGUGCAUCUUCUGGUAAACCAAGCUUCAACAACUUUUAUCGACUGGAUCGAAACCAAAUUCGCGAGUGAUGACUGUGACUUUGUUGUUUGUAACAAUAAGUGUAACAAUAACAUAUCUGUAUAUGUAUAUUUUAUUAAUAUUAUAAAAUUUAUAAUUAAUGAUGUUAUUUAAUUAUUUUAUCACUAAAUAUAUGUUAUCUAAUUAAAUAUUGCUAUAUGAUAUAAGUAUAUUUUACAUUGUAAACAUGUUAAAUAAACUGUAAUUUUUUAA